rnacentral:rRNA from 1 species
UGCAGAAUCCCGUGAACCAUCGAGUCUUUGAACGCAAGUUGCGCCCGAAGCCAUUAGGCCGAGGGCACGUCUGCCUGGGUGUCACGC